rnacentral:rRNA from 1 species
GACGAACCGUGCGACCGUUGUUCGGAAUCACUGGGCUUAAAGGGCGCGUAGGCGGGCCCGCAAGUCAGGGGUGAAAUCCCACGGCUCAACCGUGGAAGUGCCUUUGAUACUGUGGGUCUUGAGGGAGGUAGGGGCGUGCGGAACUUCCGGUGGAGCGGUGAAAUGCGUAGAUAUCGGAAGGAACACCGGUGGCGAAAGCGGCGCGCUGGACCUCUUCUGACGCUGAGGCGCGAAAGCCAGGGGAGCAAACGGG